UAGGGAAUCUUCCACAAUGGACGCAAGUCUGAUGGAGCAACGCCGCGUGAGUGAAGAAGGGUUUCGGCUCGUAAAACUCUGUUGUUAAAGAAGAACAUAUCUGAGAGUAACUGUUCAGGUAUUGACGGUAUUUAACCAGAAAGCCACGGCUAACUACGUGCUAG
rnacentral:rRNA from 1 species